rnacentral:rRNA from 1 species
CACGGGGGGAGCAAGCGUUGUUCGGAAUCACUGGGCGUAAAGGGUGCGUAGGUGGUGAGGUAAGUCGGAUGUGAAAGCUCCGAGCUCAACUCGGAAAUGGCAUUGGAAACUACCUUGCUCGAGGGUUUGAGGGGGGACUGGAAUACUUGGUGUAGCAGUGAAAUGCGUAGAUGUCAAGUAGAACACCAGUGGCGAAGGCGAGUCCCUGGAAAACUCCUGACACUGAGGCACGAAAGCUAGGGGAGCAAACAGG